UACGGGGGGGGCAAGCGUUGUUCGGAAUUACUGGGCGUAAAGGGCUCGUAGGCGGCCAACUAAGUCAUACGUGAAAUCCCCAGGCUCAACCUGGGAACUGCGUCUGAUACUGGUUGGCUUGAAUCCGGGAGAGGGAUGCAGAAUUCCAGGUGUAGCGGUGAAAUGCGUAGAUAUCUGGAGGAAUACCGGUGGCGAAGGCGGCAUCCUGGACCGGCAUUGACGCUGAGGCGCGAAAGCAUGGGGAGCGAACAGG
rnacentral:rRNA from 1 species